rnacentral:lncRNA from 1 species
ACAGCAAUUUACAGGCAUCUUUCUGCUGCUCAGAGAAAGAUUCAGAAAUCACAUUGAUCUGAAACAGCAUCAUCUGGGAGCUUGUCAGAGAUCCACAGUCUCAAGCCUCCACCCCAGAACCACUGAGACAGAGUCUGAAGUUUUAAAGUCUCCAGGAGAUUUGUACACAUGUCAAGUCUAAGAAGCAAAGCGGUAGAACACAUUUUGAGAACCAGGGCCAAGGACGAUGACAGAAAUGGUUUUAACCUGGGAAACUUCAAUAAUCAAUCUUAGAGUUCAUUCACCUUGGAUCCUGAAAGACUUCGGUGUUUCUUCCAAGGAACAUCUGCUCUGGCAAGGGGAUUUUUCACUGGGAAAAUUACAUCUGAAGGCUGUCGUGGAGAGAUGCAGCUCAUCAUCGUCAAAGACAAAGCUUUGAGAGCAGGUCAGCAAAGGAGCCUGCUGGAUUGGCAGGCUCCAGGGAAGAGCUUAUUCCAGACACAGAGGCCCGAGGGAAGAUGAGAGAGAAGAAAUGGAACAAAGGAAGCAGUGAGGGACAAGCCCGGGCUCAGCCAAAGGAAGAAGCAGAGGAAAGAGGAAGGUAUGUUGGCGGAGUCCCAGCGGUUCCUCAUUCCAUUUGAGGACACGGUGAGCCAUCAUUGUCACGCAGCCUUUGGGAUGAAGU